UAGUGUCUUUUUGUUUAUCAAAUUAAGAUCAGAGUAAUACAACACGGUGUUUUUUCUCCCAAAGUGCUGUCAGGGCUCAAGCGUGUCCAUCCUGUACUGAAAUAUGUCUUCCAGUGCACACUGCAGGUCUGGCAUAUGGUGCUGAUGCACUGUUGGUGUUGCCUGACAGGUGGCAAGAUGGCCUAGUGCUACUAUAAUUAUGGUGGUCAAAAAUGCUCUCAGAUGCACCAGAGGUGUGUCGGUCUUUCUGCUGUGUGGAUGCACACAGCGAAAACUGCUUACCCAUCUGAAGGAGUCUUCCGGGAGUCCUGACCAGAACAUGAUUUAAACAAGUAGAUGUAAAAGUCUUGAAAAGAUUACUAAGCUGUACACAAACUCUAGAAGACAAAUGAAAGGUUCCCAGAAUGGCUUGCUGAAGCCAGUUGCAUGGUUAGAGGAGUUCUCAUUAAUUUGGUUUGAGUGUUUGGAUCUUCAUAGUAUUUCUCUGAGGAUGAAAAGUAGGUCCUCUACAGACCAAAGAAGAAAUUGUAACAACUUGCAAGCGGUUGUGGCAGAAUAGUGAAAUCUCUUACUCUUGAGGGUUGGGAAAACAAGGGAAGAGAGUCUUGCCAGUCUGGUAAAGUGCUUUUAGGUUGUUGUGGAUUGUUGAUUUUGGGGGUGGUGCGUGCAUUUUUGUUUGGGGA